UACGAGGGGGGCAAGCGUUGUCCGGAUUUAUUGGGCGUAAAGAGCGUGUAGGCGGCCUGAAAGGUCAGCUGUGAAAACUCGAGGCUCAACCUCGAGACGUCGGUUGAAACCAUCUGGCUAGAGUCCGGAAGAGGAGUGUGGAAUUCCCGGUGUAGCGGUGAAAUGCGCAGAUAUCGGGAAGAACACCCGUGGCGAAGGCGGCACUCUGGGACGGUACUGACGCUGAGACGCGAAAGCGUGGGGAGCGAACAGG
rnacentral:rRNA from 1 species